rnacentral:rRNA from 1 species
UGCAGUUCGAGCGACAGACGAGGAGCUUGCUCCUCUGACGUUAGCGGCGGACGGGUGAGUAACACGUGGAUAACCUACCUAUAAGACUGGGAUAACUUCGGGAAACCGGAGCUAAUACCGGAUAAUAUAUUGAACCGCAUGGUUCAAUAGUGAAAGACGGUUUUGCUGUCACUUAUAGAUGGAUCCGCGCCGCAUUAGCUAGUUGGUAAGGUAACGGCUUACCAAGGCAACGAUGCGUAGCCAACCUGAGAGGGUGAUCGGCCACACUGGAACUGAGACACGGUCCAGACUCCUACGGGAGGCAGCAGUAGGGAAUCUUCCGCAAUGGGCGAAAGCCUGACGGAGCAACGCCGCGUGAGUGAUGAAGGUCUUCGGAUCGUAAAACUCUGUUAUUAGGGAAGAACAAAUGUGUAAGUAACUAUGCACGUCUUGACGGUACCUAAUCAGAAAGCCACGGCUAACUACGUGCCAGCAGCCGCGGUAAUACGUAGGUGGCAAGCGUUAUCCGGAAUUAUUGGGCGUAAAGCGCGCGUAGGCGGUUUUUUAAGUCUGAUGUGAAAGCCCACGGCUCAACCGUGGAGGGUCAUUGGAAACUGGAAAACUUGAGUGCAGAAGAGGAAAGUGGAAUUCCAUGUGUAGCG